rnacentral:rRNA from 1 species
AUGGGAAUUAAGAAAGGAGGGGGAAGGGGAAUUAAGAGGGCCAAUUCCCUUAGAUCUCUUCCCCAGGGACCCCUGGAAGAAAAACGUUUCUUCAUGAGGAAUCUUUGGUUAGCUGAGCACAGAAAACACACUGCCGGCAGUGAAGGGGAGCAGGCUGCCCCUGGCCACGUUGAUCGGGCGCGAGCUCCGCGCCGGGGUCUGCUCUACGGCCACGCCGGUUUCGCAAAGCGCGGGGAGGACUACUUCCUCGUGAAGCCCGACUGCCCCCGCGUCCCCGGCGACCCCUCCACCGCACCGCCUUCUCCGUCUUCGCCGUACGUACUGCUCCCCUCUCUCCGCCCCGUCCUUCGUGUCUGGUUCGUCGUGUUCGACGGGCACAACAGGGUGUUGGCGGCGGUGUCCAGCAAGGAGCAUCUGCUGGAACACGUGAUGAGCGCGGUCCCUCCGGACAUGCAACCGCUGGCUCGCGCGCUCAUCGUCGGCUUUGUCAAGGCCGACAGGCCAACAUCGACUUCCCCUACUGAAACUUGCUGGUGGACGACGGCUAGGCUGGUGGUCAGAGCUGCUAACCGUGGACCACAGGCUGGAGGACAAUGUCAAGCAGAGGGAGCAUGUCAUGGCGAUCGGCCGUCUGAAUCUCUUCUCUUCGGCAGGCAGGUCCAUUUUUGGCCAGGUGGUUUGUGCCUCUCAAGAUCCAUUGUGCUGAUUCCACAUGUUAAGCAAGUUAAGCGAAAAAGAUUGCUUGCUUCGAGGACAACAAUGGUUCUGGUUCUCUCACAGAGACCAGCUGAGAGGAGCUGCAGUUCACAGAGAUCAGACGACCAUUUUAUUCUUGUAGCUUUCAGCUUCAGUCCUACACACUUCCAGCUGAUUAUGUAG